rnacentral:rRNA from 1 species
UACGAAGGGGGCUAGCGUUGCUCGGAAUCACUGGGCGUAAAGCGCACGUAGGCGGAUCGCUAAGUCAGGGGUGAAAUCCCGGGGCUCAACCUCGGAACUGCCUUUGAUACUGGAGAUCUUGAGUCCGGAAGAGGUAAGUGGAACUGCGAGUGUAGAGGUGAAAUUCGUAGAUAUUCGCAAGAACACCAGUGGCGAAGGCGGCUUACUGGUCCGGAACUGACGCUGAGGCACGAAAGCGUGGGGAGCAAACAGG